rnacentral:lncRNA from 1 species
AACAAUUCCCCCAAUCAUUGUUAAUCGUUGUCACAAACGAUCAUAUCAAUUUUCUUUUUUAGUUUUGGAAUAAAGUGAGGAUUGGGUGCUUCAGGUUGAGCAUAUUUCCAGGGUAUAUCCACCCCGUCUUGCUUCUUUUUCCUUGGUCUCUCCAGGGUGAAAUUCUGCUGCCAUGGUAAAAGCUGCAGGCAUGAAACAGAGCAGAAACUGGAAAUGUAAAUUUUGCUGUUCCUUUUUGGGUUCACAAGAGACCAAACUCCCGUUAUCUACCACUUGCCAAUCUUUUUUUAAACUUUUCGAUGAUGA